CCUACGGGAGGCAGCAGUGGGGAAUAUUGGGCAAUGGGCGCAAGCCUGACCCAGCAACGCCGCGUGAAGGAAGAAGGCUUUCGGGUUGUAAACUUCUUUUGUCAGCGACGAAGCAAGGGACGGUACCUGACGAAUAAGCCACGGCUAACUACGUGCCAGCAGCCGCGGUAAUACGUAGUGGGCAAGCGUUAUCCGGAUUUACUGGGUGUACAGGGCGUGUCGGCGGGACUGCAAGUCAGAUGUGAAAACCACGGGCUCAACCUGUGGCCUGCAUUUGCAACUUUAGUUCUUGAGUACUGGAGAGGCAGACGGAAUUCCUAGUGUAGCGGUGAAAUGCGGAGAUAUUAGGAGGAACACCAGUGGCGAAGGCGGUCUGCUGGACAGCAACUGACGCUGAGGCGCGAAAGCGUGGGGAGCAAACAGGAUUAGAUACCCCGGUAGUC
rnacentral:rRNA from 1 species